GGGGGAGCAGUUUUCAGGGUCUGGAGGAAAAGGAAGCUUGGGGGUCGCAGAGAGAGGGUCCGGGAAGCUCGUGGCAAGAGGCUCUCAAGACUAAAGAACUUGUCUGAAGUUAAGGAACUUCUGGAGAGAGAGGCUUAAAAUUUGGAUGCAUACCGUUUCUUUAAAAGCUAGUGACAUGUACAAGUCUAUUCUGGAGCCUCUAGGGGAGAAUCCCUUUGCUGGCCUUUUCCAGUUUCUAGAGGCUGCCUUUGGCUCGUGUCUCCCAGCCAGC